GCCAGUGUGGUGUAGUGGUUUGAGUGUUGGACUAAGUUUCUGGAGACCAGGGUUCGAUUCCAAGCUCAGCCA